rnacentral:rRNA from 1 species
UGGUGGGUUGCCUUGUCAGGUUGAUUCCGGUAACGAACGAGACCUCAGCCUGCUAAAUAGUCUGCAUCGCACCUGCGGUGCACCGACUUCUUAGAGGGACUAUUGGCGUUCAGCCAAUGGAAGUAUGAGGCGAUAACA